rnacentral:rRNA from 1 species
AUUGAACGCUGGCGGCAUGCCUUACACAUGCAAGUCGAACGGCAGCACGGGUGCUUGCACCUGGUGGCGAGUGGCGAACGGGUGAGUAAUACAUCGGAACAUGUCCUGUAGUGAGGGAUAGCCCGGCGAAAGCCGGAUUAAUACCGCAUACGAUCUACGGAUGAAAGCGGGGGACCUUCGGGCCUCGCGCUAUAGGGUUGGCCGAUGGCUGAUUAGCUAGUUGGUGGGGUAAAGGCCUACCAAGGCGACGAUCAGUAGCUGGUCUGAGAGGACGACCAGCCACACUGGGACUGAGACACGGCCCAGACUCCUACGGGAGGCAGCAGUGGGGAAUUUUGGACAAUGGGCGAAAGCCUGAUCCAGCAAUGCCGCGUGUGUGAAGAAGGCCUUCGGGUUGUAAAGCACUUUUGUCCGGAAAGAAAUCCUUGGCCCUAAUACGGUCGGGGGAUGACGGUACCGGAAGAAUAAGCACCGGCUAACUACGUG